UAUUUUCACCCCCAAAUGGAUUCUUCUAUUCUAUUUUCUACCUGCCCUCUUCCUUCGUUAGACCAACGGAGAGACAGAGAGAGACAGAGAGAAGGGUCUGUGGUUUACAGAAUCAAGAACUAACAUCUCACAAUUGAUCCUCUUUCUUCAAUCUCAAUUUUCCAAGGAAAAGGCGGAACCUCCUCCUCCUCGGUAUCAUGAUCAGUGAUCACAAGUUCACAACUCAUCCUCCUACAAUUCUAACAGCAGUGGUACAAAUGUCUUUAGAUUGCUAGCACAAAGACAGAUUGCACCUAGAACCAAACAUAGGUGGCGCUGGGGAGAAUCUUGUAAAUCGAAAUCCGGUUCUUGCUCCCAUCGGAAAAGUGAAGCAGUAAUAGAUGCAAAGCGUGGUCUUCUCUCAUGAUACUUACACAACUUCAGUGUAUAGAUGGAUUUAUUUCCUUUCUUUAAAGAAAUUCAAUAUCAAUGACUAGCAUCUCUAGAAGUGCUUGUCAGGGUUGAGGCUGAAUCAUUGUUGCAUUUGUCAGCUAAGUAUUGCCCUUUAUUGCCUCCACCACGGUCUACUAUUUCUGCCGCAUUCAGUCCUGAUGGAAAAGUGCUUGCAUCCACACAUGGUGACCACACAGUAAAGUUAAUCGAUUGUCAAACUGGAAAUUGCUUACAGGUGGUGGUUGUUCAUAGAAGGACACCUUGGGUUGUAAGUUUCAAGUCUUCCUGUUGACCUUAAUUUUUUGUCUCUGUAUCUCUUCUAUUCUUCAUUUUCUUCUUAUGCUGAUUUCAAUAUAUAGAGAAUGUCACAAACAAAAUAUCCUAAAAGCCUAAAGUUAUUAGGUGAAGACACAUAAUAAUUUUAUUUUGUUUCCCUAGCAUGCUAUAGAAGUGUGGUGGGCGCAUAACCCACAUACUACUGUCUGAGAAUUAGGCUCAAAUACCAACUUGAAAAGUAAUGUACUGAAUCUUAUUUCUUGAUGGAUGAUAAUUGUACAAUAGGAAUUGUUUAAUAUAAACUAGUCCUUUUUACUACUUUCCUAUAGUAGAGCUACAUUAAAAGCCGCUUUCUGUUCCAAUAAAGGGGAAUCUAAUAAAAAAAAUCUGUAUAAUGAAAUGGAAUAAUAAUAAUAACUCUCGGCAGAAGGAAUAUUUUUCUAUCAGUUUUGAUGAGAUACAUUAUAAAGAUGAAACAAUUCUAUUGAAUGGAUUCAAACUUUUCAUUGUUAAUAAAGCACUAUCUAGCUACCCAAAUUUUGCACUUAGUAUGUACUUAAUGAAUGUAAUAUCUUAUAUUUACUUUUUAAGAUGAUGUUUCUUGUAAAUUGAAUUGAUUUUUCUUUGCCAUUUUCUUUAUACUUUAUUACUUUUCCUAGCUUGUACAGUUUUUCAUUUUAGGCAACAAUCUCCAAUUUAAGCAUAUGAAAUAUUCAUUCAUGCAGUUAAAUAGUUUUUCUUCAACCAAAAACUUUCUUUUGCUCUUUCUGGACUAUUGCAUGGAUGCUUAAAUGAAGUAGGUAACGUGAAUUAUAUGGUCUUUCCAAAUUCCUGGAAUUUCCGAUGCCAAGAAGUGGUUUUGGGCCCAUUAUUAGAGAAUGUGAGAAUUAGUGCAUGUGCCAUUGUGCCCUGAUGGUGUCUUUUGUGCUUCUAGUCCUAGCACAUUCCAAGUGUUGUGGAUUAAAAAAUUUCAGUCUUAAUCAGCGUUAAGGGUAUAUAUAGGAAUGCUCAUUGGUUUUGAUGGUUGUAAUGUAUUCAUAAAUUACUUAGAGUCCUUGAAUUAUCAAGUAAACUUUGAUGCAAAAACAUAUAUUACAUCAUUCGUUGAUUUUUUCUUAUAUGGAGAAGGCUUGCAAGCUUUUUUGGUAGAUGGUGAAUGCUUUAUGUUGUUGAUGUUUGUAUUUGUUGAUUAGGAUAUUUUGUUGUUAGGACAAGUUUUCGUGUAACAAUGAUUGGUUGAGGAUAUGCAAAUCCUGAUAAAUUAGUUUUUUUAAUCUAAGGCUUUUGUAGAUUUAUAAGUUAAUAUUAGUUUCACACACUGAUUCCUAAAAAAAUUGAAGGCUUUUUUAAGUUCCCAGCCAGAUUCUCAUACUUUAUGUAUGAUGAUGAUUUUUGGGUGCAGCCAGAUACUCUUGAAAUAACAAUACAAAACUCUUAAUCGUAAUUAAAUAAUGAAGCAAAUCAUGAAA